UAUUAAUUGAUAUGGAAUAUCAAUUUGCUGCUUAUUUGAAUAAUUUUAUUAUCGAAAUCAGUACAAAGAAUGAGAAAAAGUCAAAUGCAGAAGAGUAUGCAUCUAUAGGAACUGUUACCAUAAAUUGAUAUUGAUAAGCAGGUAAAGGAGGAGGAGGUGCAUCUGUACAGUUUCAAUUAAUAUCAGUCACUGAAAUAAAACUGUUGGUUUUUAUGAGAGGAUUCUUUAUGUAUUUCUCAUGGAGGAACCUAAUCAACUGGCUCCUUCUCCCUGAUUAUUCUUAAUUCUGGAUGACACAAUUGAAAGCAAAUUGUCAUCAUAAUCAGUAGGUUCUAAAACAAUGAAUUUAUAAAUAUACAAAGACUUAGAAAUCCUACACUGCCUUACAUUAAAAAAAUUAUAUAAGCAACCACAGCUCCACGGCAGGAUUUCUGGCACAGCUGCCUCAUCAUAGCUGAGUUCUGAUGUGGCCUAGCAACACAGCUGUUUCGCGCUGAAGAAAUGCAGUUGUGGUGUGGAUAAGGAUAAGGCAGAUUUGGAAGGCACAAUAAGUCAAAUCACUCAUGUUUAACAAUAACAAAUCAUGUUUAAUGCAAGAGAGACUCCUUUACAUUCAUUUACAUAUUGAUUAUUGGUUUGACAUAUUAUUUCAGAGGAUAAAUACCUUGAUAUUGGAGUCUUAUUGUUAUCAGUUGAGAAUUAGAUGGUCUAAUGGUGAAUUUAUAUUCAACUCCAAUGUAGGUAUAUUAGUGAAUUUGAAUGGGGCAAGGAAGGAAAAUGAAGGAUAAAGAUUAUGAUGCAACUUUGGAAAAAUGUGGAAAGGGUCUUUGAAGAGACAAACAGCAAAUAUAAGCGAAAAAAGAUUGACAGAGUAUGCCGAUGGCAGCAAACAAUGGACAAACAAGGAAGAAGACCCUGAACCUUUGUCUAGCAGGUCUUUUAUAUUCGUUGUCCAACUCCUCCACCCAUCAGUCCAAAGACAGAUGGUCUGGGCCUGAAGAUGAUCCUCAUUCGCCCAGUUUCUCUCUUGAAUCUUAUUUAUAUUUGUUAAUUUAAGAUAAAAAAAGGGUAAUAAAUCCUUAACUGUCAUCCAAUGAAUGGUUAUUUUCAUUCUGGUUUCUGGUGCAAUCUUCUUAUUUCUGAUUUCAGGAUAAAUAUUGUUAUUUCUUUUUUAAUUAUCCCC
rnacentral:lncRNA from 1 species